CGAAGUGGCGAUUGCAUACUUUGUAUAGUCGUCUUAUCAAUCAGACUUGAUUUAACAGUAAAAAAAAAAACAAUAAAACCUGUAAUGUUGGAAAAGCCAUAUUCAGUAAGUAAUUUUACAUCAAACUGUGAAAGUCAGUCAACUUCACUGGAAGAAGAUUAUUAAUUUAACAAAAUGAGGUGGAUUGGAAUGUUGGCUUUCUCCUUAAUUGGACUGUCUGCUGCUAACGCCUACUUGCACG